rnacentral:rRNA from 1 species
AGAGUUUGAUCCUGGCUCAGAUUGAACGCUGGCGGCAGGCCUAACACUUGCAAGUCGAGCGGCAGCGGAAAGUAGCUUGCUACUUUGCCGGCGAGCGGCGGACGGGUGAGUAAUGUCUGGGAAACUGCCUGAUGGAGGGGGAUAACUACUGGAAACGGUAGCUAAUACCGCAUAACGUCGCAAGACCAAAGAGGGGGACCUUCGGGCCUCUUGCCAUCAGAUGUGCCCAGAUGGGAUUAGCUAGUAGGUGGGGUAACGGCUCACCUAGGCGACGAUCCCUAGCUGGUCUGAGAGGAUGACCAGCCACACUGGAACUGAGACACGGUCCAGACUCCUACGGGAGGCAGCAGUGGGGAAUAUUGCACAAUGGGCGCAAGCCUGAUGCAGCCAUGCCGCGUGUAUGAAGAAGGCCUUCGGGUUGUAAAGUACUUUCAGCGGGGAGGAAGGCGUUGAGGUUAAUAACCUCAGCGAUUGACGUUACCCGCAGAAGAAGCACCGGCUAACUCCGUGCCAGCAGCCGCGGUAAUAC